GAGGGGGUGACUAGUGACAGAGGGAGGGAGGGAAGGGGUGACUAGUGACAGAGUGAGGGAGGUUGUGAUUAGUGACAGAGGGAGGGAUGGGGUGACUAGUGACAGUCACCACCUCCUUAACUCUGUCACUAGUCACCCCCUCCCUCACUCUGUCAUUGUGUCACCCCCUCCCUCACUCUGUCACUAGUCACCCCCUCUCUCACUCUGUCACUAGUCAUCCCCUUCCUUACUGUCACUAGUUACCCCCUCCCUCUCUCUGUCACUAGUCCCACCCUCCCUC